rfam:Gossypium raimondii Chr13_contig_1336, whole genome shotgun sequence.
UAGUAAAAAUUCUAUCCCUUUGUAUUCUUAUAAAUUGGUGUAGCUCACAGAAUAACUAGACAGUGACAUGUGGUGUGCUAUGUAUACCUCAAACUGAAGUACAAAGACCAGUUUUUAACAGUAAAAAUGGAUAAAUUUUUUAAUA